CGAACGCGGACCAGGCCAGUGCCGACGUCUUAAUUAGCAGAACCUUCUGGAAAGUUGGGCCAUAGCGGGUGACAGCCCCGUAUGCGAAAAUGAAGAUGUCGGACUUGAGUAGGGCGGAGCACGUGAAACUCUGUCUGAACAUGGGGGGACCACCCUCCAAGCCUAAAUACUCGUACAUGACCGAUAGCGAACCAGUACCGUGAGGGAAAGGUGAAAAGCACCCCGAUGAGGGGAGUGAAACAGUACCUGAAACCGGAUGCCUACAAGCAGUUGGAGGGCUCUUGAAGCCUGACAGCGUACCUCUUGCAUAAUGGGUCUGUGACUUAGUGUAUCGAGCAAGCUUAAGCCGUUAGGUGUAGGCGCAGCGAAAGCGAGUCUGAAUAGGGCGACCAUGAGUUCGAUGCAUUAGACCCGAAACCCGGCGAUCUAGGCAUGACCAGGCUGAAGGUGCGGUAACACGCACUGGAGGGCCGAACCGUUUAAUGUUGAAAAAUUAUCGGAUGAGUUGUGUUUAGGGGUGAAAGGCCAAUCAAGCCGGGAAAUAGCUGGUUCUCCGCGAAAUCUAUUGAGGUAGAGCGUCGGAUGAUUGCCGUUGGGGGUAGAGCACUGGAUGGAUGCGGGGGUCGCGAGAUCUACCAAUUCUAACCAAACUCCGAAUACCAACGAGUCUAGUCCGGCAGACAGACGGCGGGUGCUAAGGUCCGUCGUCAAAAGGGAAACAGCCCUAACCUACAGCUAAGGUCCCCAAGUCACGUCUAAGUGGGAAAGCAUGUGGGAUUUCCAAAACAACCAGGAGGUUGGCUUAGAAGCAGCCAUCCUUUAAAGAAAGCGUAACAGCUCACUGGUCUAAACAAGAGAUCCUGCGGCGAAGAUGUAACGGGGCUCAAGACGUGCACCGAAGCUUAGGGUUCAGUCUUUGACUGAGCGGUAGCGGAGCGUUCCGUAGGCCGUUGAAGCGGGAGGGUAACCGACCGUGGAGGUAUCGGAAGUGCGAAUGCAGACAUGAGUAGCGAUUAAGAGGGUGAGAUGCCCUCUCGCCGAAAUUCCAAGGGUUCCUGCUUAAAGCUAAUCUGAGCAGGGUAAGCCGGCCCCUAAGACGAGCCCGAAGGGGGUAGUCGAUGGGAACCACGUUAAUAUUCGUGGGCCUGGUGGUGUGUGACGGAUGGCGUAACUUGUUCGGCCUGAUUGGAUUGGUCCGGGCAGGGAAGUUGUCCCAGGAAAUAGCCCCACCGUAUAGACCGUACCCUAAACCGACACAGGUGGAAUGGUAGAGUAUACCAAGGCGUUUGAGAGAAGUAUCCUGAAGGAACUCGGCAAAUUGCCUCCGUACCUUCGGAAGAAGGAGGCCCCACAUAUGCGCAAGCACUUGUGGGGGGCACAGGCCAGGGGGUAGCGACUGUUUAGCAAAAACACAGGGCUCUGCUAAGUCGGCUUCAAGACGACGUAUAGGGCCUGACGCCUGCCCGGUGCCUGAAGGUUAAGAGGAGGAGUGCAAGCUCUGAAUUGAAGCCCAGGUAAACGGCGGCCGUAACAAUAACGGUCCUAAGGUAGCGAAAUUCCUUGUCGGGUAAGUUCCGACCUGCACGAA
rnacentral:rRNA from 1 species